rnacentral:rRNA from 1 species
UACGUAGGGUGCAAGCGUUAAUCGGAAUUACUGGGCGUAAAGCGUGCGCAGGCGGUUUUGUAAGUUUGUCGUGAAAGCCCCGGGCUCAACCUGGGAAUUGCGAUGAAGACUGCAAGGCUUGAAUCUGGCAGAGGGGGGUAGAAUUCCACGUGUAGCAGUGAAAUGCGUAGAGAUGUGGAGGAACACCGAUGGCGAAGGCAGCCCCCUGGGUCAAGAUUGACGCUCAUGCACGAAAGCGGGGGGAGCAAACAGG